rnacentral:rRNA from 1 species
UACGUAGGUGGCAAGCGUUAUCCGGAUUUAUUGGGCGUAAAGGGAACGCAGGCGGUCUUUUAAGUCUGAUGUGAAAGCCUUCGGCUUAACCGGAGUAGUGCAUUGGAAACUGGGAGACUUGAGUGCAGAAGAGGAGAGUGGAACUCCAUGUGUAGCGGUGGAAUGCGUAGAUAUAUAGAAGAACACCAGUGGCGAAAGCGGCUCUCUGGUCUGUAACUGACGCUGAGGUUCGAAAGCGUGGGUAGCAAACAGG